rnacentral:rRNA from 1 species
GACGAACGCUGGCGGCAGGCUUAACACAUGCAAGUCGAACGGGUGUAGCAAUACAUCAGUGGCAGACGGGUGAGUAACACGUGGGAACCUUCCUCGUUGUACGGGACAACUCAGGGAAACUUGAGCUAAUACCGUAUACGUCCGAGAGGAGAAAGAUUUAUCGCAAUGAGACGGGCCCGCGUCGGAUUAGCUAGUUGGUGGGGUAACGGCCUACCAAGGCGACGAUCCGUAGCUGAUCUGAGAGGAUGAUCAGCCACACUGGGACUGAGACACGGCCCAGACUCCUACGGGAGGCAGCAGUGGGGAAUAUUGGACAAUGGGCGAAAGCCUGAUCCAGCAAUGCCGCGUGAGUGAUGAAGGCCUUAGGGUUGUAAAGCUCUUUUACCCGAGAUGAUAAUGACAGUAUCGGGAGAAUAAGCUCCGGCUAACUCCGUGCCAGCAGCCGCGGUAAU